rnacentral:rRNA from 1 species
UGGGGAAUAUUGCACAAUGGGCGAAAGCCUGAUGCAGCAAUGCCGCGUGUGUGAAGAAGGCCUGCGGGUUGUAAAGCACUUUUAUCAGGAAAGAAACAGCCUGGGGUUAAUACCCCCGGGCCUUGACGGUACCUGAGGAAUAAGCACCGGCUAACUCCGUGCCAGCAGCCGCGGUAAUACGUAGGCAGCUAGCGUUGUUCGGAAUUACUGGGCGUAAAGCGAGUGUAGGCGGUUUGCCAAGUCCGUUGUGAAAUCUCCCGGCUCAACUGGGAGGGUGCGGCGGAAACUGGCAGGGUAGAGUGCGGAAUGGGAGAGUGGAAUUCCUGGUGUAGCGGUGAAAUGCGUAGAUAUCAGGAGGAACACCGGUGGUGAAGACGGCUCUCUGGACCGCUACUGACGCUGAGACUCGAAAGCGUGGGGAGCAA